GGACCACCUUUGGGAGGACAGCAAUCUCAACCCUCUGCUGGUGAUGGGAACCAGGAUGAUGGCCCUCAGCAGGGACCACCCCAACAAGGAGGCCAGCAGCAACAAGGUCCACCACCUCCUCAGGGAAAGCCACAAGGACCACCCCAACAGGGAGGCCAUCCCCCUCCUCCUCAAGGAAGGCCACAAGGACCACCCCAACAGGGAGGCCAUCCCCGUCCUCCUCGAGGAAGGCCACAAGGACCACCCCAACAGGGAGGCCAUCAGCAAGGUCCUCCCCCACCUCCUCCUGGAAAGCCCCAGGGACCACCUCCCCAAGGGGGCCGCCCACAAGGACCUCCACAGGGGCAGUCUCCUCAGUAAUCUAGGAUUCAAUGACAGGGAAUCUCAGUCUUUGAGGAGAUUUUAAUCUCACAUGCAAAUUCAGUGGCUUAGUCAGCUUCCCCACCCUGCAACUUCUUCCUACAAACUUCCUAGAGGAAGACCAUCAGCCUGGAGACUAUUCGCUGUAAAGAUUAUAACGGUGAGAAUAAGCUCUAAAAUAAAACUUCUUGUUGUGCUUUACCUGACUUUUCUGAAGCAAGGACACCCAUUCUCCCAGAAAACCCAAAGGAA
rnacentral:misc_RNA from 1 species